UCCUUGGUAGUAUAGUGGUGAGUAUCUCCGCCUGUCAACCGGAAGACCGGGGUUCAAUUCCCCACCAGGGAG
rnacentral:tRNA from 1 species